GUAUUGGUGGCUUAGUGGUUAGAGCAUCUGCCUUGGAUGGGGGAGGUCGUGGGUUCAAUCCCCGGCCGAUUCA